rnacentral:rRNA from 1 species
UACGUAGGGUGCAAGCGUUAAUCGGAAUUACUGGGCGUAAAGCGUGCGCAGGCGGUUUUGUAAGUCUGUUGUGAAAGCCCCGGGCUCAACCUGGGAAUGGCAAUGGAUACUGGCAAGCUAGAGUGCGGUAGAGGGUAGUGGAAUUCCCGGUGUAGCGGUGAAAUGCGUAGAGAUCGGGAGGAACACCAGUGGCGAAGGCGGCUACCUGGACCAGCACUGACACUGAGGCACGAAAGCGUGGGGAGCAAACAGG